AUACUUACCUGGACGUGGUCUAUGGCUGAUCAAGAAGGGUUAUGGUCUAGGUUGGUGAUCUCCAUUGCACUUUGGAGAACCAUCAACCUAACAUCUUCCCAAGUGGGAGAGUGUACGUCAUAAUUUGUUACUUUGGGGUUACGCGUUCGCGCGGCCCUUGU
rnacentral:snRNA from 1 species